GGCUCUUCCUGGUUCCCCUUCCUUACAUGUGGCCUGGAAACCCUUUGAUGCUGAAGAUCUCACCAUCCUCACUUGCACAAGACCUUGCUGAGGUUGAUGAGCAUGGUGAUAAAAAAGAGAGACAUCUGGAUUCUUCUCCUGGAUCUGGCCUUGCUGACAGGAAAUGUC